rnacentral:tRNA from 1 species
UGGGGUAUCGCCAAGGUAAGGCACCGGGUUUGAUCUCGGCAUCCCUAGGUUCGAAUCCUAGUACCCCAGCCA